GUUGACCCAUAGCAGAUAUACAGCACUCCAUAUAAAUACGGAGCGACGAACUCGUGAGUAAGAGAACUAAUCUCGCUUAUUAAAUAAGCACUAAAUUAGAUAAGGAAUCACGAAUACUCACUUACUUAGCAUAGGAGGAAGCCAGCAUCCGUAGAGGUACAUGACCAGAGUAGAGUGCUGAGGGACUUAACACUCCUUCAAGCUACUCCCUUUC
rnacentral:lncRNA from 1 species